rnacentral:rRNA from 1 species
UACUGAAGGUGCAAGCGUUAAUCGGAAUUACUGGGCGUAAAGCGCACGUAGGCGACUAGUCAGUCAGAGGUGAAAUCCCAUGGCUCAACCAUGGAACUGCCUUUGAUACUGCUAGUCCAGAGUUCGAGAGAGGUGAGUGGAAUUCCGAGUGUAGAGGUGAAAUUCGUAGAUAUUCGGAGGAACACCAGUGGCGAAGGCGGCUCACUGGCUCGAUACUGACGCUGAGGUGCGAAAGCGUGGGGAGCAAACA